UUUCCUAAUAUGGUUCUGAGAAGAGCAAUAAUACAUUUUUUCAAAAUAUUAGUAACAAGAAAAUGUAAAACACAUUAGAAUUUCUGUGUACUGUUAACAGGUUCUAAAACUUUAAUGGAGAAACUCUUAACGCAUGUCUGCCUUUGUACAAAAAUGUUUCAUUUACUCACUAGAUUUCCCUCCUCCUUUUUGCAUCUUUUUCCUUUUAGUCUAUUUGAGUCGCUGGUCUUAAUUAAAACUUCCCUUUCUAGAGUUUCCCUUGAUGUGUGUCCAGUCUCUGCUCUGCACACCCUCUCCGCGGGCCUCUGUCCAGCUUGGAUGAUGAUGGAAAGCAGAAGAAUGCAGGAAUGCGGAGGGAGAUGAUAAUCCUGGUUGCUCAUCGCAACGGAAGACACGUUUGACACAUCGCAGGAGGAAUGAGGUGGAGGGGAGGGGAGCUCUUGCUCCUAUUAACCUGGUGUUUACAGUAACAGGCUGGCAUUGUUUUAUAAUGGAGGUACAUGAAUAUUGGCAACUGGCCUCCCAUCUGAAAUCUGAGAGCUCGAACUGGAAUGUGAGACGUCACCUGGUCACCAUGGUUACAUGCCUGUAUCAGCUGCUUUUUUGUCCUAGCUUGAGAGUAUGGACUGGGUUUUUUUCUCUCUCUCUCUCUCUGAGUGAGUGCUUGUGAACAGGUAUGAGAAGGUUUGUGUCUUGUUUGUGUGUGAUAAGUGUGAUAAGUAUCAAUGUGUAAAUUUUCAGAGGACAUUAAACUUGGGGG